GAGGCCAUGUUCAUAGAUUUUGGAAUUUAGACAAGCAACCAAUAUAUGUAUGAAAAGGUUAGAAUAAUUACUUACUUUCAUCAGGAAACUUCCCAUAGUUAUGGUUCAAAGCUUAAAAUAAAUUAAAAAAAAAAGGAAACGGAUAGCGACAUCAGUCGACGGAUAGCGACAUCCGUUGACGGACAGCGACAUCCGUUUCGGUGCCUGUCUUCUUCCUCAACGCGCACAACAGCACAACACAGAGAUCACAAACUCAAACAGAAACACCAAC
rnacentral:lncRNA from 1 species